CUGGCUCAGGAUGAACGCUGGCGGCGUGCUUAACACAUGCAAGUCGAACGGAGUAUUGACGCUGAGGAGUGGAGAGCUUGCUCAAAGCAAAUCUUGUCGAUACUUAGUGGCGGACGGGUGAGUAACGCGUGGGUAACCUGCCGUAUGCAGGGGGACAACAGUUGGAAACGACUGCUAAUACCGCAUAUGCACACAGUAAGGCAUCUUACAGGGUGGAAAGAAUUUCGGCAUACGAUGGACCCGCGUCUGAUUAGCUAGUUGGUGAGGUAACGGCCCACCAAGGCGACGAUCAGUAGCCGGCCUGAGAGGGUGAACGGCCACAUUGGGACUGAGACACGGCCCAAACUCCUACGGGAGGCAGCAGUGGGGAAUAUUGCACAAUAGGGGAAACCCUGAUGCAAGCGACGCCGCGUGAGUGAAGAAGUAUUUCGGUAUGUAAAGCUCUAUCAGCAGGGAAGAAAAUGACGGUACCUGACUAAGAAGCCCCGGCUAACUACGUGCCAGCAGCCGC
rnacentral:rRNA from 1 species